UACGUAGGAGGCAAGCGUUGUCCGGAAUCAUUGGGCGUAAAGAGCUCGUAGGCGGUCUGUCGCGUCUGCUGUGAAAACUCAGGGCUUAACCCUGAGCUUGCAGUGGGUACGGGCAGACUAGAGUGCGGUAGGGGAGACUGGAAUUCCUGGUGUAGCGGUGAAAUGCGCAGAUAUCAGGAGGAACACCGGUGGCGAAGGCGGGUCUCUGGGCCGUAACUGACGCUGAGGAGCGAAAGCGUGGGGAGCAAACAGG
rnacentral:rRNA from 1 species